AUACUGGUCUGCAGCUGCUGG
rnacentral:miRNA from 1 species